rnacentral:misc_RNA from 1 species
AAGUCGUAACAAGGUUUCCGUAGGUGAACCUGCGGAAGGAUCAUUAACAAGUUUAUCUGUUUUUUUGAUGAUUUUUCAUCAAUAAAACAAAAACCCCAUUUUGAUGAACCUUAGAUGUUAUUAUAAGUGAUAUAAUAUAAGAGAUAAUACUCUUUAAUUGUAUUUACUUAAAUACAUCUAAAUCCUUUAUUUUUAUACCCUAAAAAUUAUUUUUAAAACCCCUUUUUUACAACAUGUCUUUGACUGAAAUGAAACUUUUUAUCUUAUAAAAAAUGAUAAAACAACUCUUAGCAACGGAUAUCUUGGCUCUC